rnacentral:rRNA from 1 species
UACGGAGGGUGCAAGCGUUAUCCGGAUUCACUGGGUUUAAAGGGUGCGUAGGCGGCUAAAUAAGUCAGUGGUGAAAGCUUACAGCUUAACUGUGAAACUGCCAUUGAAACUGUUUAGCUUGAAUCUGGUUGAAGUGGGCGGAAUACAUCAUGUAGCGGUGAAAUGCUUAGAGAUGUGGAGGAAUACCGAUGGCGAAGGCAGCCCCCUGGGAUAACACUGACGCUCAUGCACGAAAGCGUGGGGAGCAAACAGG